UUUCCAGAGGGUUUGAUCCUGGCUCAGGGUGAACGCUGGCGGUGUGCCUAACACAUGCAAGUCGUGCGACGAACUCUUCCUGAUUGAUUUUAUAAUCAAUCAGGAAGGGGGAAAGCGGCGGACGGGUGAGUAACACUUGGGUAACCUACCCUCAGGACCGGGAUAACCUGCCGAAAGGCGGGCUAAUACCGGAUAAUCUUCUCAGGUGAGAUUCCUGAGAAGCAAAGUCCUACCGAAGAGGUAGGGCACCUGAGGAUGGGCCUGAGUCCUAUCAGGUAGUUGGUGGGGUAAUGGCCCACCAAGCCUAAGACGGGUAGCUGGUCUGAGAGGACGGCCAGCCACAGGGGGAUUGAGACACGGCCCCCACUCCUACGGGAGGCAGCAGUGGGGAAUCUUGGGCAAUGCCCGAAAGGGUGACCCAGCGACACCGCGUGGGCGAUGACGGCCUUCGGGUCGUAAAGCCCUGUCAGGAGGGAAGAAUCCGCCUUUUGGCGGAUGACGGUACCUCCAGAGGAAGCCCCGGCUAACUCCGUGCCAGCAGCCGCGGUAAUACGGAGGGGGCAAGCGUUACCCGGAUUGACUGGGUGUAAAGGGUCCGCAGGCGGUUAGAUGUGUC
rnacentral:rRNA from 1 species